UGGGGAAUAUUGGGCAAUGGGCGAAAGCCUGACCCAGCAACGCCGCGUGAAGUAUGAAGGCCUUCGGGUUGUAAACUUCUUUGAUCAGGGAAGAAACAAAUGACGGUACCUGAAAAACAAGCCACGGCUAACUACGUGCCAGCAGCCGCGGUAAUACGUAGGUGGCGAGCGUUAUCCGGAUUUACUGGGUGUAAAGGGCGUGCAGGCGGGCUGAUAAGUCAGAUGUGAAAUCCCCGAGCUUAACUCGGGAACUGCAUCUGAUACUGUUGGUCUUGAGUGCAGGAGAGAAAAGUGGAAUUCCUAGUGUAGCGGUGAAAUGCGUAGAGAUUAGGAGGAACACCGGUGGCGAAAGCGGCUUUUUGGCCUGCAACUGACACUGAGGCGCGAAAGCGUGGGGAGCAAACAGG
rnacentral:rRNA from 1 species